AGCACAUCGGAGGCAGAGCCCGGAAGUCUACCUGUCCUGAGGACUUCAUGCUGUUGUGGAGUUUCCCUUCAAGGUAUUGCUACUGGAGCAGAUUAAUGAUUCCACCACCACCCUCAGAAAGGACUUAGAGAGAUGUAGACUGUUAGUAAAAGUUUGGAAGAGUACAUUGUAGUAAACUUAGGUUAGCAUGCUUUUGCUGGUGGUUUUGAUGUGGAAAAUCUUAGGGAACAGUUUGAAAUUCAGAAAGGCACAGUCUUUUGAAGACAGGGAACAAGAACAAUGACCACCCAGCUAAUACUAGCUGAUGUGCCUCUCUUGCUGAAGGUAGGCUGGCGAUCAAGGUGAUGACUAAUGUCUUCUACUCAUUUUUACCCUCAGAUUCCUGACAGGAUUUAUGAAAAAAAAUUCUUAAUAAGUAGAUAUGCCCUGAGGAUUUACAGUAAUAAGGACUGUUUUAUAUGAAGGUUUAAAUUUGUGAUGUUCUUAAGAUUUUUAUAAGAUUAUAUCUUAAGAUGGACAAUAAAACAAUUGCAGGAUGUCGAUAAGAGAAACUGGCUGAGAAAAUUACCUUUCUUCCUUACACUUUGGCAAUGUAACAAGUCGGUUGGUUACGAAUGUAUAUGGGCUCUCGAGAAUAGUUUGGUGUGGUUUUGUUUAUCCGUAAUAUGUAAAACAUUUGAUCAUGUGUGAGGUGUUGGGAAACAUGUUUUUUCCUUAUGUAUACUCACUGUAAUCAUUCACUCAAAGGAAAAUAGAAUAUAAACACAUUGUGAUAUUUGAAUUGCUGGAAAGAUUUUGUUGGGAUAUACAAGCUGUGUGAGAAAAAAUAAAGUUGAUGGAUUUUG